AUAAUACAAAUAUCUAGCAAAAUAUUGCAUUAGAUUUACAAUCUAAUAUUCCUAAC
rnacentral:tRNA from 1 species